CUACGGGUGGCACCAGAGAGGAAUAUUGCACAAUGGGGGGAACCCUGAUGCAGCAACGCCGCGUGGAGGAUGACGCAUUUUGGUGUGUAAACUCCUUUUAUAUGUCAAGAAAAUGACGGUAGCAUAUGAAUAAGCACCGGCUAACUCCGUGCCAGCAGCCGCGGUAAUACGGAGGGUGCAAGCGUUACUCGGAAUCACUGGGCGUAAAGGACGCGUAGGCGGGUUGGAAAGUCAGGUGUGAAAUCCUACAGCUUAACUGUAGAACUGCACUUGAAACUUCUAAUCUAGAGUAUGGGAGGGGGAGAUGGAAUUGGUGGUGUAGGGGUAAGAUCCGUAGAUAUCACUAGGAAUACCUAAAGCGAAGGCGAUCUCCUGGAACAUUACUGACGCUAAGGCGUGAAAGCGUGGGGAGCAAACAGGAUUAGAUACCCCGGUAGUC
rnacentral:rRNA from 1 species